GAUGAACGCUGGCGGCGUGCCUAAUACAUGCAAGUCGAGCGAACAGACGAGGAGCUUGCUCCUCUGACGUUAGCGGCGGACGGGUGAGUAACACGUGGAUAACCUACCUAUAAGACUGGGAUAACUUCGGGAAACCGGAGCUAAUACCGGAUAAUAUAUUGAACCGCAUGGUUCAAUAGUGAAAGACGGUUUUGCUGUCACUUAUAGAUGGAUCCGCGCCGCAUUAGCUAGUUGGUAAGGUAACGGCUUACCAAGGCGACGAUGCGUAGCCGACCUGAGAGGGAGAUCGGCCACACUGGAACUGAGACACGGUCCAGACUCCUACGGGAGGCAGCAGUAGGGACUCUUCCGCAAUGGACGAAAGCCUGACGGAGCAACGCCGCGUGAGUGCUGAAGGUCUUCGGAUCGUAAAACUCUGUUAUUAGGGAAGAACAAAUGUGUAAGUAACUAUGCACGUCUUGACGGUACCUAAUCAGAAAGCCACGGCUAACUACGUG
rnacentral:rRNA from 1 species